GUGAAAAGGACUGAGGAUGGUGUACACUGAAUCAGUCUUUGUUAUCUGUCCUUUAUGUAGUAGGGCUAGUGGGGAUGUGGGUCAGGGUGAGUCCAAGCACACCAGAGUCUGCAUGAGCUGAUGCAUAAGUUGAAUUAUAAGCACUUGUGUUUUGCAUAAGGGAGGUGGCAAAAUUGUUUAAAUUAACCAGUCUGGAACUAGAUAAAUAAGGGUUGAAUUUUCUUUCUUCCUAUUUUUCAUCAGGCGCAUGUGAUAAUAGUAGUGGUAGUGAUGAGGGUGAUUUGUCUCAGAAAUGCAAUUAGGUUUGACACAAUAUCCUACUUUUUAGAAGUGAGCAAGUUAGAAACAAACACUUCUUUAUGUGAUCAAAAUUUAUCUUGACUGCUGUAUUGGUGUGAUUUGCAUCUAGAAUGACACAGAAGGCAUUUUACCUGUAUUUUCAUUCUCCAAUGGCAGCAGAAAAGCAGAAUGUUAAGAAGGGAUUAAGCUUGCUUUGGGUAUCUAGGAGGAUGACAUAUUAAAAUGUCUGCUCUCCCAUUUUGACAGAUAAAAACACUGAUUGUUUGAUUUGGAGAUCAUGUAAACUUCCUCAGGUUCAUGGUUAAUCUUUCUUAAAUUUUGAGUUUUUAGGACAAAGAGACUGGCUUUCACAGAGGUAUGGGUUGGGUUCAGUUUUCUUCAGAAGAAGAACUUCAGAAUGUACUACAACAUGAAAAUCACAUUAUCGAUGGAGUAAAGCUCCAUGUUCAAGCUCAAAAACCAAGAAUUUUGCAAGAGGAUCAAACAUGUGAUGAAGAGAAAGAUUUUUAAGAUUAUUGCCUAUUAAAUAAACAAAAC